CCUACGGGAGGCUGCAGUGAGGAAUAUUGGUCAAUGGGCGCGAGCCUGAACCAGCCAAGUAGCGUGAAGGAUGACUGCCCUACGGGUUGUAAACUUCUUUUAUAAAGGAAUAAAGUGCGGCACGUGUGCCUUUUUGUGUGUACUUUAUGAAUAAGGAUCGGCUAACUCCGUGCCAGCAGCCGCGGUAAUACGGGGGAUCCGAGCGUUAUCCGGAUUUAUUGGGUUUAAAGGGAGCGUAGAUGGGUUGUUAAGUCAGUUGUGAAAGUUUGGGGCUCAACCGUAAAAGUGCAAUUGAUACUGGCAGACUUGAGUGCAGGUGAGGUAGGCGGAAUUCGUGGUGUAGCGGUGAAAUGCUUAGAUAUCACGAAGAACUCCGAUUGCGAAGGCAGCUUACUAGACUGCCACUGACAUUGAUGCACGAAAGCGUGGGGAUCAAACAGGAUUAGAUACCCUUGUAGUC
rnacentral:rRNA from 1 species